UUCUCAUUUGAUGAAAAUCUGUGCAAGUAUGGUGAUGGCUUCAUUUGUAUAUGUUUCGGUAUUUUGACCAUAUCUCUCUAUACGGAACUCCAAAUAAGAGCAAACUCUUUGGAAAUUUUAUAAAGUCUGUUCAAGAGGACGUUGGAUAAAGAUGUCUUCUAAUGAAGUCAAAGCAUCAAUACAAGUUGUAAAGAGAAGAAAAUGUGCAAGGUUUUAUCAAAACAUGUAUGGAGGAGUUGUUAUUGCAAUUAUAUAUCACAUGAAAUACUUAAUGAAAAAAUGAAAUAGAUUCAAUUAUUCUGAUGGAUGAAAUUGGGUAUGUGAAACUUUACAAACUCCAAGUGAAAGUUAUAGAAUGUUCAGGAUGGAAUCACAUACUGUAUUGCAACUUACAGAUACAUUGAUAAAUAAAGGAUGGUUCCAUCCAU